GCUUUACCCUCUGACCUUUGACCCUGACAGGGCUCGUCCAAUCACUGGCUGCGUGUAAUCCCUCGCACGCGGUUCGGCUCCUUCGCCCGCGGGGCCCGGGUCACGGCCUACACCAAUCGGAGUGGGGCUCUCAUGCGCAUCAUCGACAGCGGCUCGGGGUACCUCUGUGAGAUGGAGCCUGUCGCCCACUUUGGACUGGGCAAGGACGAGGUCACCGUGGUGGAGGUCUAUUGGCCGGAUGGCCGCCCGUGGCCCGCCCACUACAGCCUAGUGACAUGAACUCUGUGAUGGAGAUUGGCUACCCUAAAGAGGGGGAGGAGUCUGUGCUGACCCCUGAUACCCAGUGUGGGGAAGGAUUCUUUGUCAAGAAUGGCCGCUGUGCAGGUAUAUGAGGGCAGUGAAUGAGAUGCCUUGAAGCAAAAUAAAAAAAAUAUAUGCCUUGUCAUCAAGAUAAUGUAUACUGUCGAAGACCAAUGACACUCCAUAUUGUUUGUCAUUUGAACUAGUAGAUUAUCUCUGUUUUGCUUCGAUCUUUCAUAAGUGUCAUCUUCUCUGUAAGUGUUACCUUAUUGUUCUACUUUUCUUAGUUUUUCUUGACAAGUCAAACUGUUCCCCUUUGCUCAUUUCUUUGUUUUAGAAUAAUUAACCAUCCCUAAUAAAUCAAUACAACAACA